ensembl:lncRNA
CUGACAAGUGACUGUGGUGCAGGCCGAAAGCUUACCAUGUGUGCCUGGCAGGAGGAAAGGGCAGCUGCCGGGCACGGAUCAGCCAGCCAGCUGAGGAAAAGCCUCAAGGCCAUGGCAAGGAAAGAGGCAAGGGCACCCAGGAGGCGAGAAGCCAUCUGAGCCAUUCAGAAGGAAACCAAAAGAGAAGGCAAGGGAAGCAAAGUAAAGUCAUUCAAAAAAUCCACAGAAAAAUAACAAAAAGAAAGAAAGUAAAAAAAAAUCCCAACCCAAAUGGAAAACCAAAUGAAGAAAAAGCAAAGCAAAACAACAAAUGGAAUACAAAGAGAAAGCAAAAAGAAGUCAGCAAAGGAAAGAUAAAAAUGAAGGAUCAGGAGGGCUAAUAGCAGGUAAGUAAAGGCGAGGUAAGGGGAAGGGGGCAGGGAAGGGGGGCAGGGAAGGGGGGCAGGGAAGGGGGCAGGGAAGGGGGGCAGGGAAGGGGGGCAGGGAAGGGGGGCAGGGAAGGGAAAAAUGUAAAGGAUGAAAAAGAGAAUCACAAAGGAAUGCAAAGAGAACUAGCUUGAAUAGGGCAGGAAUGGAAAAGAAACAACAAAAGGAAAAAAAAACAGUGGAAGGAAAAUAGAAAGGAGCAGUAAAGAAAAACAAAAUGGAAAGGGGAAAAGAAAAGAAGCAAAACUAGAAGGCAUAGCAAAGCAAUGAAAUACCGAGGAAAAGAAAAAACAGAAUGCCGUAUCAUGGCAAAGCAAAGGACUCAAAGAAAUUCAACAAGAAAAAAACACCAUCCAAAAUUGUUCAAAGAAAAAACAAAAUGACCAUAAGGAUACAAGCAAAGCCACCGACAGAAAAGCAAACAAGCAAAGAAGAAAGGAAACCAAAGCAAAGCGAGAAAACCAUGAAGCCAUGCAAAAUGCAAAGCAAAGGUAUGAAAGGAAAACCAAAGAGCAAAGCAAAGCACCAGAAAAACAAUAAAAAGAAAUGAAAGAAAAGGGACUGAAAACGAAAGGAAACUAACGAUAAGUCAUUCGAUAAGAAGAGAAAGGGGAAGGAAAAAAAGGAAUGCAAAGAAAUGAACUGGAAGGAAGAAAACCACAUUAAGGAAAUUAACAAUGGAAAGCGAAGCAAAACGAGCAGUACAGAAAUCUGAAUUAGAAUUAGAAGGCAGAGCAAAGCAAAGCAAGUAAGGGCAAGGCUAGAGGAAGGAGACAGGCAAGGGGACAAGGAUACGGGCAAGGAAAAGAAGGCAAAGAAGAAUGCAAUUACAAAACAAAUAGGAAACUGAAAGCAGAGCACAGAAAAACC